rnacentral:rRNA from 1 species
AUUGAACGCUGGCGGCAUGCUUUACACAUGCAAGUCGAACGGUAACAGGCCGCAAGGUGCUGACGAGUGGCGAACGGGUGAGUAAUGCAUCGGAACGUGCCCAGUCGUGGGGGAUAACGCAGCGAAAGCUGUGCUAAUACCGCAUACGAUCUGUGGAUGAAAGCGGGGGACCUUCGGGCCUCGCGCGAUUGGAGCGGCCGAUGUCAGAUUAGGUAGUUGGUGGGGUAAAGGCUCACCAAGCCAACGAUCUGUAGCUGGUCUGAGAGGACGACCAGCCACACGGGGACUGAGACACGGACCAGACUCCUACGGGAGGCAGCAGUGGGGAAUUUUGGACAAUGGGCGCAAGCCUGAUCCAGCAAUGCCGCGUGCAGGAAGAAGGCCUUCGGGUUGUAAACUGCUUUUGUACGGAGCGAAAAGGCUCCCUCUAAUACAUGGGGCUCAUGACGGUACCGUAAGAAUAAGCACCGGCUAACUACGUGCCAGCCGCCGCAGUAAUAC